rnacentral:rRNA from 1 species
GACGGAGGAUGCAAGCGUUAUCCGGAAUGAUUGGGCGUAAAGCGUCCGCAGGUGGCAGUUCAAGUCUGCUGUCAAAGACCGGGGCUUAACUUCGGAAAGGCAGUGGAAACUGAACAGCUAGAGUAUGGUAGGGGCAGAGGGAAUUCCUGGUGUAGCGGUGAAAUGCGUAGAGCUCGGGAAGAACAUCGGUGGCGAAAGCGCUCUACUGGACUGCAACUGACACUCAGGGACGAAAGCUAGGGGAGCGAAUGGG